AUUGAACGCUGGCGGCAGGCCUAACACAUGCAAGUCGAACGAGUGGCGGACGGGUGAGUAAUGUCUGGGAAACUGCCAGAUGGAGGGGGAUCACUACUGGAAACGGUAGCUAAUACCGCAUACCAUCGGAUGUGCCCAGAUGGGUUGAGCUAGGAGGUGGGGUAAAGGCUCACCAGGGCGACGAGCCCUAGCGGGGCUGAGAGGAUGACCAGCCACACUGGAACUGAGACACGGUCCAGACUCCUACGGGAGGCAGCAUUGGGGAAUAUUGGACAAUGGGCGCAAGCCUGAUGCAGCCAUGCCGCGUGUAUGAAGAAGGCCUUCGGGUUGUAAAGUACUUUCAGCGAGGAGGCGUUACUCGCAGAAGAAGCAUCGGCUAACUCCGUGCCAGCAGCCGCGGUAAUUC
rnacentral:rRNA from 1 species